GUAGUCCUAGCCGUAAACGGUGCGCAUUUGCUGUGGGCGGAAUCGACCCCGUCCGUGGCGAAGCUAACGCGUUAAAUGCGCCGCCUGGGGAGUACGGUCGCAAGAUUAAAACUCAAAGAAAUUGACGGGGGCCUGCACAAGCGGUGGAGUAUGUGGCUCAAUUCGAUGCAACGCGAAGAACCUUACCUGGCCUUGACAUGUAGGUAGUAGAAGCGUGAAAGCGCGACGAGGUAGCAAUACCAGCCUACACAGGUGCUGCAUGGCUGUCGUCAGCUCGUGUCGUGAGAUGUUGGGUUAAGUCCCGCAACGAGCGCAACCCUUGUGUCCUGUUGCCACCCGAACGAGAGUUCGGAGCACUCUGGACAGACUGCCUCGCUUAAACGAGGAGGAAGGUGGGGAUGACGUCAAGUCAGUAUGGCCCUUACGGCGAGGGCUGCACACGUACUACAAUGCCCGGCACAAUGGGAAGCGAAACGGCAACGUGGAGCAAAUCCCCAAAAACCGGGCCCAGUUCAGAUUGUCGUCUGCAACUCGACGGCAUGAAGCUGGAAUCGCUAGUAAUGGCGCAUCAGCUACGGCGCCGUGAAUA
rnacentral:rRNA from 1 species